CCUCGCUGUCGUUGGCAGAGUGAGACUUCUUCAUCUCUGCAAUCCUGUUUCUGGGAACUUUUCUCCUCAGUGAUGGAGAGAAGAAGGACGGACGGUUCCUCUCUGGGGUCGGAGGCGUGCUGAACGACGUCACCUGACAACAGCAGCCACGUUUACCACAGGAGGCCGAUGAGAUGCUCUUCAGGAAGAUCCCAGGUCUCCAAAUGCCAGGAAUCGUAUCGCUCACAGACCUUUUAGAGAGCCAGAAUGGUCGCCAUGGCGACGCCCGUUUGUGUGCGCAGAGCUGACGGGAUGAAAAAGGUCCAUGGAGGAAACAAGACAACUAGUCGAUGAUAAAAUCUCUGUGUUCUUGUUGG